rnacentral:lncRNA from 1 species
UACACAAUUAUUUGUACAUAAGUCUAAAUUUUAGAUUUGCAUGUUAAUAGGAUUAUUGAAUCAAGUGAAGAAAUUUUCGAAAACUUUUUCCCUAUAAUAUGUAAAGUGAAUCAAAUUUAUUCAAUAUAUCCUGUGAUAAUGGAGAUAUUAUAGAUCAGUAAUCUAUAAAUGAUAAGUGUACCUCCAGAUGGCCAAAGAUCUCGAGACCUCUCAUGUCCGAACAAGCCAUUUUCCUGCACACUAGGAUAAAUCGUUAGACACACAUGACCUUCUUCGGUGGGUGUCGAGCCAACCACGCACACUCCGAUGGUCAAGUCAAUUGGAGAAGAUGUAUGCAAGUGUGGGAGGGCUUUUAACAUGAGCCUCCAAUAUAAAGGGGGUAGAAAUCGGGAGUAAAGAAUAUAGAGAGCAAAGUUAUAGUAUCAAAGUCUAAAUUUGCAUUACCUUUGGAAUAACAUCAAGUGUGAGUUUUUAUAAUGUGGGAUGAUGAAUAUGGACCAUCGGAUUGGAGGACACAUGGCUCUACCUGUGAGCCUGAGGACGCCCGUCA